GAGCCGCUAUAAUGCUGCCCGNGGUAGAGCAGCGGACUUUUAAUCCGUUGGUCGCUGGUUCGAGCCCAGCACGGCCUACCA
rnacentral:tRNA from 1 species